rnacentral:misc_RNA from 1 species
GUGAAUCAUCGAAUCUUUGAACGCAUAUUGCACUUUCUGGUAUUCCGGAAAGUAUGCCUGUUUGAGGGUCAGUUAAAUAAAAAUCGGUGUUGUCGCUACUUUUAGUGGUGAUGCAUCGGGAUUGAGUUGGCUUUAUUUUUGGGUAAAGUGACUUAAAAUUAUGUACGAUUUUUGAACGUGUUGAACUUGUUUACGUAUGUUCAUAAUAUCAUAGUUUAGGUGCGAUCAUUCUUAUGAUUUCUCGUCUAUAUUUUUUCAUUAUUUUACCUCAAAUCAGUU